ACAUGCAUACAACAUAGAAUUAAUGUAGUGUGUCCAAUUAGGACUCCAUAAUUAAGUGCACUCAUCAUAGAUUAGUACUGGGAUGGGUGACCUCCUAGGAGGUCCCAGUGUUUUACAUGCC
rfam:Picea glauca, whole genome shotgun sequence.